GACCAUUAGAGGUAGAGGACUGACUAUAGAAACAUAACAGGACCAUUAGAGGUAGAGGACUGACUAUAGAAACAUAACAGGACCAUUAGAGGUAGAGGACUGACUAUAGAAACAUAACAGGACCAUUAGAGGUAGAGGACUGACUAUAGAAACAUAACAGGACCAUUAGAGGUAGAGGACUGACUAUAGAAACAUAACAGGACCAUUAGAGGUAGAGGACUGACUAUAGAAACAUAACAGGACCAUUAGAGGUAGAGGACUGACUAUAGAAACAUAACAGGACCAUUAGAGGUAGAGGACUGACUAUAGAAACAUAACAGGACCAUUAGAGGUAGAGGACUGACUAUAGAAACAUAACAGGACCAUUAGAGGUAGAGGACUGACUAUAGAAACAUAACAGGACCAUUAGAGGUAGAGGACUGACUAUAGAAACAUAACAGGACCAUUAGACGUAGAGGACUGACUAUAGAAACAUAACAGGACCAUUAGAG